rnacentral:rRNA from 1 species
GAAGAGUUUGAUCAUGGCUCAGAUUGAACGCUGGCGGCAGGCCUAACACAUGCAAGUCGAACGGUAACAGGAAGCAGCUUGCUGCUUUGCUGACGAGUGGCGGACGGGUGAGUAAUGUCUGGGAAACUGCCUGAUGGAGGGGGAUAACUACUGGAAACGGUGGCUAAUACCGCAUAACGUCGCAAGACCAAAGAGGGGGACCUUCGGGCCUCUUGCCAUCAGAUGUGCCCAGAUGGGAUUAGCUUGUUGGUGAGGUAACGGCUCACCAAGGCGACGAUCCCUAGCUGGUCUGAGAGGAUGACCAGCCACACUGGAACUGAGACACGGUCCAGACUCCUACGGGAGGCAGCAGUGGGGAAUAUUGCACAAUGGGCGCAAGCCUGAUGCAGCCAUGCCGCGUGUAUGAAGAAGGCCUUCGGGUUGUAAAGUACUUUCAGCGGGGAGGAAGGUGUUGUGGUUAAUAACCGCAGCAAUUGACGUUACCCGCAGAAGAAGCACCGGCUAACUCCGUGCCAGCAGCCGCGGUAAUACGGAGGGUGCAAGCGUUAAUCGGAAUUACUGGGCGUAAAGCGCACGCAGGCGGUCUGUCAAGUCGGAUGUGAAAUCCCCGGGCUCAACCUGGGAACUGCAUUCGAAACUGGUAGGCUUGAGUCUUGUAGAGGGGGGUAGAAUUCCAGGUGUAGCGGUGAAAUGCGUAGAGAUCUGGAGGAAUACCGGUGGCGAAGGCGGCCCCCUGGACAAAGA